GACGAACGCUGGCGGCGUGCCUAAUACAUGCAAGUCGAGCGGACUUGAUGAGAAGCUUGCUUCUCUGAGAGUUAGCGGCGGACGGGUGAGUAACACGUAGGCAACCUGCCUGUAAGACUGGGAUAACUACCGGAAACGGUAGCUAAUACCGGAUAGGUGAUUUUCUCGCAUGAGGAAGUCAAGAAAGACGGAGUAAUCUGUCACUUACGGAUGGGCCUGCGGCGCAUUAGCUAGUUGGUGAGGGAAUGGCUCACCAAGGCGACGAUGCGUAGGCGACCUGAGGGGGUGAACGGCCACACUGGGACUGAGACACGGCCCAGACUCCUACGGGAGGCAGCAGUAGGGAAUCUUCCGCAAUGGACGAGAGUCUGACGGAGCAACGCCGCGUGAGUGAUGAAGGUUUUCGGAUCGUAAAGCUCUGUUGCCAGGGAAGAACGUCUUAGAGAGUAACUGCUCUGAGAGUGACGGUACCUGAGAAGAAAGCCCCGGCUAACUACGUGCCAGCCGCCGCGGUAA
rnacentral:rRNA from 1 species